rnacentral:rRNA from 1 species
GACGAACGCUGGCGGCGUGCCUAAUACAUGCAAGUCGAACGCAGUGGGGACGGGUGAGUAACACGUGGGUAACCGCCAAUAAGAGGGGAUAACACUUGGAAACAGGUGCUAAACCGAGACUGAGGGAUGAACCCGCGGUGCAUUAGCUAGUUGGUGAGGUACCGGCUCCCCAAGGCCACGAUGCAUAGCCGACCUGAGAGGGUGUCCGGCCACCCUGUGACUGAGACACGGCCCAGACUCCUACGGGAGGCAGCAGUAGGGAAUCUUCGGCAAUGGACGAAAGUCUGACCGAGCAACGCCGCGUGAGUGAAGAAGGUUUUCGGAUCGUAAAACUCUGUUGUUAGAGCAGCGGUAGAUAAACAGAAAGCCACGGCUAACUACGUGCCAGCAGCCGCGGUAAUAA